GUCAAUCGCUUCUUCCGGCGAGCUUCCGGCAAACUUCCGACGAACAUCCGACGAACCCUCGGCGAUGCUCCGGUGGACUUCUAGCAAACUCUUGGACUUGCAACGAUCCACUUGGCGAGUUCCGACGAGCUUCUUUGGCAAGCUCCUAGACUUCUCGGAUUUGUUCCCGUAGAACUUCCAACGACCAUCUGGACUUCCGUCGAACUCUCGAACCCCCAACGUGAUCAUGGUCUUGACUCUAGUGCAACUCCUACUGCAUGUCUUACUGCCAUCAUAGUUAAUCCUACACACUUAUCUCAAUAUAUAGAUUAGAUAACAAAUGACAAUUGACUUCAUCAUCAAAAUCCGAGAUUCAACAUUAAGAAGUGGAAUACAAACACCUUUGGCAAUAUUACCACCCGGGUUCAAUUUUCCAGAAAAGAACUAAUGACAAUGCAACAUGAGCUGCAACUUCAGCCCCAUGAUGAAAAUCAUAUCUACAAAGAGACAUAAGCCAGAAAUAACUUCAUGCAAGCCUUAAAGUAGGAGAAAAAAUUUGCAAAAGCAGAAGUCUUGACAGCAUUGGCUUACUAUAGGGGAUUCCAAUACUAAGUUUUUCUAUGCUUCCAUUGCUACUCGAAGGG
rnacentral:lncRNA from 1 species